rnacentral:rRNA from 1 species
GGGCCCCGCACAAGCAGCGGAGCGUGUGGUUUAAUUCGAUGCUACACGAAGAACCUUUACCAGGGUUUGACAUGCAAGUGUAGGAAACCGAAAGGUGACCGACCCUUCGGGGAGCUUGCACAGGUGCUGCAUGGCUGUCGUCAGCUCGUGUCGUGAGAUGUUCGGUUAAGUCCGCUAACGAGCGCAACCCUCGCUGUGUGUUAUAUGUGUCACACGGGACUGCCGGUCUUAAGCCGGAGGAAGGUGGGGAUGAUGUCAAGUCAGCAUGGCCUUUAUAUCCUGGGCUACACACACGCUACAAUGGCCAGCACAGUAGGUUGCUAAGCCGCGAGGUGGAGCCAAUCCAUAAAGCUGGUCUCAGUUCAGAUUGCAGGCUGCAACCCGCCUGCAUGAAGAUGGAGUUGCUAGUAACCGCAGGUCAGCUAUACUGCGGUGAAUACGUUCCCGGGGCUU